CUGACGGGAGGCACCGGAGCCGCCGGGGUGAGGCUGGUUUACGGCGGGAGCGAAGUUUCGGGUGCCUGCGGUCCUGCCGGGGAUGAGGUGAUAAUGCCGGGCUCUCCUGCAGCACCCGUGUCACCUAGUAUUGGGGAGCAUGGCUGCUAAGAAACUAAGAAGAGCAAGGUUGUCUCAGGAGCUGUGUGAAAGGCUGAGUCGCCAUCAGAUCACUACCUGUCAGGACUUUUUAUGUCUUUCCCUCUUGGAGCUAAUGAAAGUGACAGGACAGAGCUACUAUGACGUGCAGAAGCUUCUUCGUAAAGUCAGCCAAGCUUGUGCUCCCAAAAUGCAGACAGCUUAUGAAAUGAGACUAAGGAAGUCUGUCAAUCCCUCUUCAGCCUUUUUAUCCACCACACUGCAUAGUUUGGAUAAAGUCUUGCAUGGUGGAGUACCCUGUGGAUCCCUCACAGAGAUAACUAGCCCACCAGGUUGUGGCAAAACUCAAUUUUGCAUUAUGGUGAGUGUUCUGGCUACACUGCCUGUAAGCAUGGGAGGACUAGACGGGGCUGUUAUUUACAUUGAUACAGAGUCUGCAUUCAGUGCUGAAAGGUUGAUUGAGAUAGCAGGAAACAGAUUCCCUACUUACUUUGACUCAGAUGAAAAGCUGUUCUGCAUGACACGUAGCAUUCACCUGUAUCGAGAGCUGACCUGUGGCAGUGUACUGAAGAGGAUUAUGUCUUUGGAAGAAGAAAUUAUUUCAAAGAAAGUUAAACUCAUAGUAAUUGACUCUGUUGCUUCAGUUGUCAGAAAGGAGUUUGACACAAGACUUCAAGGCAACCUGGCAGAGAGAAGUAACUUUUUGGCUAGAGGAGCAUCAGUGUUGAAGUAUUUGGCAGAGGAAUUCUCAAUACCAGUUAUCUUGACGAAUCAGAUUACCACAUCAUUGAGCAAUGGCUUCCCGAUCCAGGCAGACGUGGUGUCUCCAGCUGAUGAUUUGUCCCUGUCUGAAGGAGCUUCUGGAAAUGAGAAGAGGGAAUCUGGUUGUGUGACAGCAGCCCUUGGCAACACAUGGAGUCACAGUGUCAACACCAGGCUCAUACUACAAUAUCUUGACUUUCCAACAAGACAGCUUCUGGUUGCUAAAUCCCCUGUUGCUCCAUUCUCCGCUUUUCUCUACAACAUUGAGAAAUCAGGCUUGGUUCUGCAAGAUGGAAAGGAUCAAACCUGGGAAGGAACCGAUCCUGCCCUGCAGACCAUACGAGUGAGGAACACUGCCUUGAAAGAUACUUGAUGCUGCUUUACACAGCACUACUGGUGAGACUGAGCAAUACAUCCAAUCUGUAGAAAGGACAAAUGAAACCUCCACUAAGAAAUGAAUGAAUGACAACGCUGUUUUUCGGAAACCUGGUGAAGCAGAUAGUGAGCAUUUUUCUUCUUUUGUCUCUGUAAAGACUAACCUUAAAACCAAGCACUGUUCUUUGUAUGUGUGGGGCCAUACUUAACUCUGAAGUUAUAAAAAUCCUGUAUUUUGUUCAGGGUAAGUGACAUAGUAAUAAAAGCCUCUGAACAACACACAUGCUAUUGAAGAAGCAUAGGCCACACAUGCCUUCCUAAUUCAGCCCAUCACCUCACCAGUCUGGGGGAACUGACAGUCAAACACACAAGAGUGCCUGGUGCGCACAGCCCGUAACAUAGCAAAAUGUUUGCUUCUGCUUUUUAUGAGAAAUGAUAAAGCCGUUCAUUGGCUUCAUUAAGAAGCACUAGUUCAGUGAGCUCUUAUUCCUGUAACUCACGUGAAAAUGAGGUAUUGUAACAGAGUUACUAAUAGCCAGGCUCUGGCAGUUCAGAAUGGAAGGAGAACAGGUAGCGAUCCAGAUGGUGGGAAGAUCGAUGUGUAUUACAGCUGCUUAGCUUCCUCUGUCUUCAAAGCACUUUUAGAGUAAUCACAACAUGACUGCAAACCGCAGAACUAUUUACUCACCUUACAGAUUUAGAGAAUGUAUGACUUGCUCAAGGCCGCUGAAGGCAUCGCUGGCUGCGCUGUGAUCAGGAUCACGUUGUUCCCGGCUCUCAAGCCUCCAUGCCUAAGGGAAAGCCAUGGCUGGGUUCAGUCAGUGCCGACGGCCGAUGCAGUUGCCAUUGACCUGAGAGGCUGGUUCUGUCCUCUGCAGUCACAGGGAAAGCCCCCCUGAGCAACCUCUUGAAAAGCCGAGUAACCAGUACAGAAAUAUGUGAGGUCUGGAGUGCUGCCGAAAUGGCUGUAGGGAGCCCAGCAAGGAAACCAGCUGCAGUGGGGGCCACCUUCGGUACUGCGGUGGGCAGGUUGCUGCCUGCUGUUCGCUAGGCAGGCUCUGGGCGAGGAGGGAGUCGCUGAGGAGCAUGUGGCCCCUAUUGAAAAGUAUUGCACAGCCUUAAGGUGGCAGUGCUAGAGACUGGGAAGCUGAUGGGAUGUGGAAGCUUAUGUCACAUCACUCCCAGCCACCCAACAGGAUGGCAUGGAGAAGGCUACUCUGCAGCUAUCUACUUACCUACCCGCUCAGACAGCUUUGGGCUCUCCUCCAGCAAGGAAGUUUCCGUCACAAGAAGGAAGCUACUCCAUUUCAAUAAGCUCCUUCUAAAAGCUAAUACGUUUCACCUUGGGGAAGAGCAGUUCUCCAGCUUCAGUGUUACCAGUUUUGUGCUUUGAAGGGACCUUUGUAAAAUUUAAUUUUGAUUCUGUUUUAACUGAAGUUUAUAUUUUCUUCUUGACAGUACUGCAUUACUGGCCAUUCAGUCCAACCCUGCUGAACUUGCUGUAGCCAUUUUAUCUGGGUAUCUGGUAAAUAUUUGGUAGAGCACUCAGACACAGGAGUGUUUUUUGCUUUUAUAGUCACAUGCCUAGUUCCAGGACCUUUCAGAAGCACAAAAGGCUGAAGGCAGGGAAAAUUCCACUGAGAUGCAUUCAAGUCUCCAGGGAGCAACUGUACUCUGUUUAGACUAAAAUUUCUCAUUGUUGCCUCUCCCUUUUUUAAAAAACAUGGAAGGAUAGAGAGGGGAAGCUGGAGGGUACGUUCUUUUAUUGCUAUAAGCACCAAAAUGGAAGCACUGUUUCACUCUCAUGUUGCAGGACCACAGGCAGUUGAAGAGGGAGAUAAGCUUUUUAAUGCUCUCUGCACUACCUGGGAAAUUUCCAUUCAAGUUCUAAAAUGUUUUACAAACUUUAGUGAAUUAAAGCUUAAUCCCCUUCUUCUCAGUGUUGUAAAGCAAGUACUAAAUACAAAGACGGGGCUAAUGAGGCUAAGAAAGUUAUGCCUUGCCUGAAGUCACAUGGGCAGCAUGGCAAGAGGAUGUGGGUCUUUGAGCUUUGGCUUUCUACCUUACGCCACAGAUAACACACUUUCCCUCUCUUUUCAAGGUUGCUGUACUUUCCCUUCUGGGAUAUACUUAAACAUGCUGGCAUCACAUGUUGAGAUAACCUUGGGCUUUUUCCCCUUGGAACAGAGAGACUACUCACAGCUGCUGUCCCAUGGGAUUAAGAUGUUGAAAAGAUCAGAAAGGGACAGGGGGAUGUGAGGGGGGGGUGGGUGUUGGGUGUUGGGAGAGUCACUGCUCUGUCUGCCUUGAGCAUGUUCUGGCUCCACGGCUGCCAGUGGAGUUCGUGUACUAUCGGGAGCAACCUCAAACAUUUUUAUAUGUGAUUCCAUAUAAUGUUCAGAUGGGACUGUGGUAAAAAUGCCAUAAUCAAAGAGAGAACUUGGCUGGCAAGAAAAUUGGACAGAUGAGCCAAUAAGUCACUCCUGUAUUGAAUAUUAUGUGAUUUCAUUAUCCUUCUGUAUGUGACCUGCAUUUCUUACUGCUUCUUAUUAUCAGAAUCCUAUAACUACUGCUGCAGCCAUCUCUCUCACCUCAUCAGAAGAGAGGGCUAAUCCAUCAGCCAGUUCCUCUCCAGUGGUAUGAGUCAGGUUUUUACCAGGGGGAUUAAUGGUCAGUGAAGAGAGUUGUUUCCAACAGGGCUGAGCAAAAAGCAAGUGCACAUGAGUCAUGCAGUGGAAAAGAAGGAAACAAAUCUAUAGAUUUAAAGGUUUUGAAUUAUUUCUUUUCCCUUAGCUUCCCUUGUCCACACCAGUGAAUAACCAGACGUGCAAAAGCUGGAGAUGUAUUGAUGGUAGCUGGUGUGAACAGGACUGAGAGCUUCUCCCACUGUGCAAAUAACCCUGAAGUCAGUCAGCCCCCAAAACCAGAUCAGUGUGUACCGACUAUUCCAGCCCUUGAAGAUGAGAGAUGCUGGGAGAAAGAUCUAUCACAGUGCAGCAGCCUCCUCCUGUCUCCGUUGCAGCCUGCAGUGUACCCUGGCACCGAUGCCUUUGGCCUCUUCAAGCUGCUACCUUCUACAAGAAGGCCCCAGUGCUGGUCCUUGGGUACGCCUCUGUAGCACCCUUCCCUGCAGAGGAUCCAGGCUCGCUGCAAAUGCUGUGCACAGUGCUCAUUUCAUACCCCGCUGAAAGGCAGCCAGGCCUGAGGUGGAACAUGGCAAGCACUUCACCACGCCUGGCAACUCCACGCAGCUGCUGAAAACAAGCAGGGAAGAAAGCAGUGUAUGAACACAGGGGAAUUUUCACAUAGGCAGGAUGUAAUUAGCAGAGCUGGAAUUUGGCCAGGACGCUGGGGUUAAAACGCUGGCUUGCAGGUAACACACUGGGAUCUUUCAUAAUUCAAAUGCUCAGGAUCUCCCGUUUCCACCUUACCUGGAAGAUGUCAGAAGACUGUUCCUUAUUUAAUGUUCCUGGGCAGCUCUUGAACAUCUGACACAAAGGAAAAAGUGUCUAAUGGUGCUGCACCUGCAGUGCUUCUUCGCCAGCAACUGCCCUCCAUGAACAGCAGCUGAGAGGAUCACAUCCUGACAGGGCUACAGCUGCAUCGCAGUAAAACACGCCAUAGCUGCCUCCAUGCCCUGGGGUUCACUUCACCCUUAGCUGUCAUUACUCACUUUUCAGGCCCCAAAUCCCCACCAAACAGAAAGAAAGAUGAGAAAAUUAGGGCAGCCCCUCACACAUAAAACACAAGGGAGAGAAUAUUACCAUUAGUUGCUACUUCAACCUUAUUCUGUGCCACUUGAAAUGGUACCAAAUCCGUAUCGGACAACAGAGAAUUAGAUGAAGCACUGCUCCCCAGUGCAGAUAAGUGAACUUUUCCAACUGGCCUUGCCGAUAAUACAGUGUUGAGCUUGUACCUCCUCCUUCCUCCCAGCAGAGAAAUCACAUUCAAAGCAGCGAAGCAAUUUUUUCCCCUUCAUGAUCUCACUUUCCGUAUAAGCAAGCUUUGUGUUUACUACGAGAAUGUUGAAUGUCCACAGAAGGUCAGGGAAGUCAUUCACGAACCUCACGUGUGGAAAGUCCACAUGAUGUUUCUACCACGAUGCAGCCCACAGUCUGAAAUAUAAAUAAUUGCAAACGUUUAACCCCUCAUCUGUCAGACCUGCAGACCGCAUACAGUUCGAAGAGCUGACUUCCUCCCUUUGGUGUAGUACGUGCAAGCAAAACCAGAGGUGUUCCUGCCAUCUGAAGAAGCAUAAUCUCUGCAUCAGUAAGUCAUAAAAAAGGGACCCAUCCUAUGCCUGUGAGGGGUCCCCAUGUCAGCUUUUGGGUUGUUUGGGUUUUUUGUAUGCCCAGGCUGCCAUGCAAGUCCGCCUCUUUGUCAAGCGUUGCUUAAUACAACCACCAAGCAAACUUACUGAGAGCACCUCAGUCAGUGGGCUCACAAACCUGCAGACUGACUUGAACAGCAAAGUGUGCUGAAGAGAGUAAAGUACGGGCAGCUGCAGGCAACAGGAAAUCCAGCGCUAAUAAAUAAAACAUCUUAUAGCCAGAAAGAGGAAAUAAACAGCAGCAGCACAAACUGAGAGGACAGAAGAGAGGAACACAGCAUAACUGUGGCGCGGGAAUCACUGCAUUACAGUGAGCUUAUUUUUAGAGAGCAUUGUCCCAGUUUGUUAUGCGUUCAGAUUGCAAAAAAAGAAGUGAGGGAGUGGGAGGACUGCUCAAAGAGAGGGUCUCUAUCAGAAGAAGUUGUCAACAACCACUGUAAUUAAGGAAGCAGCCAGAGCACACACAACCUGAGCUGCCGCCAAAAUGAAAUGAAAGCAUUUUUUGUUUGUAGCCGUAGCCCCAAAGGAUAAUAAAAGAUGGUUCUACUGUGCCAAGUGAGGAGCUGCAGGGACACCGUUUCUAGAUGGCAAAUGCCCUGCUCCCAUCUUUCCAAAAUUACAUGUUGUGGGGAGGCAGCAAGUUGCUCUUCCUACGUGCACUUUCAAAGCACGUGCCCGCACACCCCUGACUGCAGCAGCCGCCUCAGGAGGCCAGCCACCAGGCAGGUGAGCCCCAGCCACCAUGGUACCGAUGGAGGCAGCACUGCCUGAGCUCUGCCCCACAGCCGAUGGGCUCUCUCGGUGCUGCUUGGUCCAGAUUGCUGAAUCGGCAACACUUAAUGUUUCCCUCUCACACUCAGCCGUGAGUGUGCCAGGGCCCCACGGCAUUGCCACCACCAGUGGGAGCUGCCGCAUGCAGAAGAGCUGCACCCUGCUCUGCUCCCGAGGAGCCUCGUGGGUGCCUUGGCAUGGAGCUUCAUGCACGGUGUGCCGAAACAGUACUCUUCUUGCUGCUGGUAGCAUCUUUCACCUAACGGCCACAUGGCCUGCACCCGUGCAGUGGCAAGUGCUGGGGACAGCAGAUGGGCUGGCAGAGCCGAGGGGGCCGACGUGGACCUUCUCAGCUGUGGGACAGUAUUGUGAGGCUUUCAGCAGUGACUGUAGAAACUCGUGUGCAGGUUCAGCAAAGGGAAAGUAGUCAUUCACAAAUUGCACGCAUAUUUCUGAAUCCAUUCAUUGAGUGGCGUUUGCCUUUCAUCUUACCCCCAAGCCCUGUGCGCAUUGCUGGCAUUCUCUCCCAAUCCCAUAUAAUAAUUCCCAGGUCUCCACAUGCCACUGCCUGCCAAUGGAGCCCACGGUCAGUGGACUGCCAGCCCAGUCACAUGAAAAGUUACAUGCAAAGGUUUAACACUUUCUCCUGACCCCAGCCCUGUUCCCGUGAAUCCCCUGCAGUGUUUUCCUAAUCGGGUGCUUCUGCACCGGGCAGGGUGCUAAGAAGGUGGCCCACUCAGCUGCAGCAUUUCCAGAGUCUUUGAGUUCUCUCCUAAACUGUAAAUGCAAGCAGUGGGGCCAAGUGAAAGUCUGACAAGGCUGCCAUUUAGACCUGAAGAAAAAAAAGAACUGCUGCUUUCCAACCAAACACAUACUGCUGUUGCCUCAUUUUCUCUAGCCCAGCAGCUGUACUAAUGGUUAAUUGCUUUGGUAGGAUAUGGAAAACACUUCUUAAAGCCUGUAUACAAGGUACACAGCUAUGAUCGAGUAUCGUUUUAACCUUCACUGGACAUUGCCAGUAUGCUUGUUACUAAGGAAUCAAAAAGAAAAUACAGUCUUUUCCCUAAAGCUUUCCAUUACCAAAUUCUAAAUAACAAUGCAGGUAUUUGAUAAAUCACAAAAAUUGUGAAAAUGACAGUAUCUUUUCUUUCACAUCCCUCCUACUUGUGAGACAUCAGAGAAAACACAUGCUUUUGGAGAAUCUCAAAUGAGGGGUUCCAACGACUGUUGAGAAUGGAGAUAGUUCUGAGCACCCAAAUGGUAACAAGCUUGUAGAAGAAAAUGCGAUGUGGUGAUGUCUGUGCCUGUGAUCAGCUGGCAUUGCCCACCCUGCCACAUGACGGCCAAGAGGCCAGAGAAGAGGAUUUUCCAUUUCUGGGAAGUGCAGUGAAACAGGAGCCCAGUGAUCACCGAAUUCUCUUUCCUUCUAUGAAGUAUUGUCUUCAGGAUACUACUUGACAUUCAUUCAGUUCAAUAUUUUGACAAUUUAAACAAACAAGCAGAAAAUGGUUUUGAUUUUUGGCCCCAGUGGACCAUCUGUGAAGAAGAAUAAGUAGCACAUCAGGUGCCAUGUCUCUUAAGUACCCUUCCUUGCCAGAAACAUGAGUGGCAUGUUUCCCAGGCUGUGGAAAGGGUUAUUGUUUCCCGUCCACCAAGGCAUCCUUCUCUUUCCACACACCCCUCACCAUCCCCAGCCGCGCUUCGGGCGGGGUGAAAGGAAACAUGACUGAAUUACUGUGCUGUUACCUGUCGGGGGGGGGGAGAGGGAGCAUGGGCACGUAAUGCGUUAUUUUGUGCCUGUUUCUGAGAAGUGUUGUAUUUAGUCACUUUGCAGUGGAACACAAAGAGAAGCAGCAAGCCGAGGCGGUGCAUACGCAGGCACACCUGCAUGCCUGUGCUGUGCCCAUUUGUGCUUGCGUGCUGCCACGACGUACCUUAAGGGGAGCCUUGGACCGGGGCGCCGCAUGGCUUGGGAAGAUGCCAGAGGAGCUUUUGUCUGCACUUUCACUGCGGGGUUUCAGGAGGCUGAUUAGCAUUUGGGUCAGAGCAUAUGGAGCAGCCCCGGCUGGGAUGGGAGAAGUCACACUGCGAGGCCACACUUGAACGUGGCUGCUUUACUGUACCGCCCAGGGUACAAAGCCUACUUGUGUGGGGCACGUCCCGUCGUGCGUCACGCUUUGGUUGUCAGCGGCAGUCAUGGGUUCCUCGGGGGUGACACAAUGACCUCUUUAUGCCUAAGAGAAUAGCAGGGGAAUUGCGGGAGGCCGUUGGAAACAUAGUGGUGAAGAAAUGGUUUGGCUUCUGUCUGUCCCCAAGGACCUUGCCAUAUGUAUUUGUACAUAAUCAUUUUUCAGUGCAGACCCGUGCUUGAAAUCCACCACUGCCUGCAAUGUUGUGGAGCCUGGGAAGGAAAGAAGCACUCCAGAGCUGCAGGUCUCCAAUGGGAAUACAAAAGGGUUAACUGGCUGCUGCCUGCAGAGGCUAUUUCGUGGGACUCUUCAGAUCUCAAAUGCUGAGAAGGGACAUGAAACAAUAAUCCCUUAGAGAACAAGCUAAAUAAUUCAAUGCUAGUUAAAAGAAAAACAAAAUAAAUAAAACCAACUUUAACAUA